rnacentral:rRNA from 1 species
UGGGGAAUAUUGGACAAUGGGCGCAAGCCUGAUCCAGCAAUGCCGCGUGAGUGAGGAAGGCCUUAGGGUUGUAAAGCUCUUUCGCGCGCGACGAUGAUGACGGUAGCGCGAGAAGAAGCCCCGGCUAACUUCGUGCCAGCAGCCGCGGUAAUACGAAGGGGGCGAGCGUUGUUCGGAAUUACUGGGCGUAAAGGGCGCGCAGGCGGCUCUUCAAGUCAGGCGUGAAAGCCCCGGGCUCAACCUGGGAAUGGCGCUUGGGACUGGUGGGCUAGAGAUCGGGAGAGGAGCGUGGAAUUCCCAGUGUAGAGGUGAAAUUCGUAGAUAUUGGGAAGAACACCGGUGGCGAAGGCGGCGCUCUGGACCGAGACUGACGCUGAGGCGCGAAAGCGUGGGGAGCAAACAGGAUUAGAUACCCCCGUAGUCC